GAUGAAGAACGCAGUGAAACGCGAUAUGUAAUGUGAAUUGCAGAAUUCAGUGAAUCAUCGAAUCUUUGAACGCACAUGGCGCCUUCCAGUAUCCUGGGAGGCAUGCCUGUCCGAGCGUCGUUUCAACCCUCGAGCCCCCGUGGCCCGGCGUUGGGGAUCUGCCCAGGCAGUCCCCGAAAACCAGUGGCGGACCCGUUACCAGGCCCUUCCCUUGCGUAGUAGCAUUCGCCUCGCAUCGGGAGCCGGCGGGCUUCCAGCCUCUAAACCCCCAUCAAGUCCGCCCCGGCGGCACCAAGGUUGACCUCGGAUCAGGUAGGAAUACCCGCUGAACUUAAGCAUAUCAAUAAGCGGAGGA
rnacentral:misc_RNA from 1 species